rnacentral:lncRNA from 1 species
AUCCCACUCUUUUUCGGGUUUGGCUGAUUCCAUACCAUCAAUAAUCUUAGUGGGUGUGUGAGGGCCAUUCACUAUGAUACUCCACAUAUCAUAGUCUAGUGCUUGAAUGAAUAUUUCAUCCGAGCUUUCCAAUAGGUGUAAUUAGAUCCAUUGAAAAGUGGAGGUCGGUUAGUGGACUGCCCCUCGGCUAGAGAAGUGCCGACUUGAGUUGCCAUAGAUCUUUGGCUCUUUGAUUGGUUAGAUCAAAGUAGAGCUAGAGCACCGGGCUCUGAUACCACUUGUUGCCCAGCUAUGCAACCCA